rnacentral:rRNA from 1 species
GACGAACGCUGGCGGUGUGCUUAACACAUGCAAGUCGAACGGUAAGGCCCUUUCGGGGGUACACGAGUGGCGAACGGGUGAGUAACACGUGAGUAACCUGCCCUCAUCUCUGGGAUAACAGUCGGAAACGGUUGCUAAUACUGGAUAUGAGCUUGCAAGGCAUCUUGUGGGUUGGAAAGAUUUUUUUGGUUGGGGAUGGACUCGCGGCCUAUCAGCUUGUUGGUGAGGUAGUGGCUCACCAAGGCUUCGACGGGUAGCCGGCCUGAGAGGGCGACCGGCCACAUUGGGACUGAGAUACGGCCCAAACUCCUACGGGAGGCAGCAGUGGGGAAUAUUGCACAAUGGACGGAAGGCUGAUGCAGCAACGCCGCGUGCGGGAUGACGGCCUUCGGGUUGUAAACCGCUUUCAAUUGUGACGAAGCUUUUUGUGACGGUAGCAGUAGAAGAAGCACCGGCUAACUACGUG